rnacentral:rRNA from 1 species
GACGAACGCUGGCGGCGUGCUUAACACAUGCAAGUCGAACGCUGAAGCUCAGCUUUUGUUGGGUGGAUGAGUGGCGAACGGGUGAGUAACACGUGAGUAACCUGCCUCCUUCUUUGGGAUAACGCCCGGAAACGGGUGCUAAUACUGGAUAUUCACUGGUCUUCGCAUGGGGGUUGGUGGAAAGGGUUUUUCUGGUGGGGGAUGGGCUCGCGGCCUAUCAGCUUGUUGGUGGGGUGAUGGCCUACCAAGGCUUUGACGGGUAGCCGGCCUGAGGGGGUGACCGGUCACAUUGGGACUGAGAUACGGCCCAGACUAGUACGGGAGGCAGCAGUGGGGAAUAUUGCACAAUGGGCGCAAGACUGAUGCAGCGACGCCGCGGGAGGGAUGGAGGCCUUCGGGUUGUGAACCUCUUUCGCUCAUGGUCAAGCCGCAACAAUGGUUGUGGUGAGGGUAGUGGGUAAAGAAGCGCCGGCUAACUACGUG